rnacentral:rRNA from 1 species
CCUACGGGUGGCUGCAGUGAGGAAUAUUGGUCAAUGGAGGCGACUCUGAACCAGCCAAGUAGCGUGCAGGAAGACGGCCCUAUGGGUUGUAAACUUCUUUUGUCGGGGGGCAAACUGCGCCACGCGUGGCGUUUUGCGAGUACCCGAAGAAAAAGCAUCGGCUAACUCCGUGCCAGCAGCCGCGGUAAUACGGAGGAUGCGAGCGUUAUCCGGAUUUAUUGGGUUUAAAGGGGGCGCAGGCGGAAGCUCAAGCCGGCGGUAAAAUUGAGGGGCUCAACCUCUUCAAGCCGUGGAAACUGGUUGUCUUGAGUGAGUGAGAGGUAUGCGGAAUGCGUGGUGUAGCGGUGAAAUGCAUAGAUAUCACGAAGAACUCCGAUUGCGAAGGCAGCAUACCGUCGCUCAACUGACGCUCAUGCACGAAGGUGUGGGUAUCGAACAGGAUUAGAUACCCGAGUAGUC